GAUGAACGCUGGCGGCGUGCCUAAUACAUGCGAGUCGAGCGAACAGACGAGGAGCUUGCUCCUCUGACGUUAGCGGCGGACGGGUGAGUAACACGUGGAUAACCUACCUAUAAGACUGGGAUAACUUCGGGAAACCGGAGCUAAUACCGGAUAAUAUAUUGAACCGCAUGGUUCAAUAGUGAAAGACGGUUUUGCUGUCACUUAUAGAUGGAUCCGCGCCGCAUUAGCUAGUUGGUAAGGUAACGGCUUACCAAGGCGACGAUGCGUAGCCGACCUGAGAGGGUGAUCGGCCACACUGGAACUGAGACACGGUCCAGACUCCUACGGGAGGCAGCAGUAGGGAAUCUUCCGCAAUGGGCGAAAGCCUGACGGAGCAACGCCGCGUGAGUGAUGAAGGUCUUCGGAUCGUAAAACUCUGUUAUUAGGGAAGAACAAAUGUGUAAGUAACUAUGCACGUCUUGACGGUACCUAAUCAGAAAGCCACGGCUAACUACGUGC
rnacentral:rRNA from 1 species